AGUGACCAUGAACGGGUGGCGCGCUUUUUACAUCCGCCACCCGGGUCGCAAUGUUGUUCCGCAGCAACACUAGGCGGCAAACCCUCAUCGUUGUUUUCCCCGUCGUCAGCAUCUUCCAAACUUAUUUGAUUGAACGGUUCAAC
ensembl:ncRNA F46C3.9 ncRNA